ACGUAGGGGGCGAGCGUUGUCCGGAUUUAUUGGGCGUAAAGAGCUCGUAGGCCGUUCGGUAAGUCAGAUGUGAAAACUCCAGGCUCAACUUGGAGACGCCAUCUGAUACUGCCGUGACUAGAGUCCGGUAGGGGAGCACGGAAUUCCUGGUGUAGCGGUGAAAUGCGCAGAUAUCAGGAGGAACACCAGCGGCGAAGGCGGUGCUCUGGGCCGGAACUGACGCUGAGGAGCGAAAGCGUGGGUAGCGAACAGGAUUAGAUACCCUGGUAGUCCACGCCGUAAACGUUGGGCACUAGGUGUGGGGACUUAUCAAUGGUUUCCAUGCCGUCGCUAACGCAUUAAGUGCCCCGCCUGGGGAGUACGGCCGCAAGGCUA
rnacentral:rRNA from 1 species